rnacentral:rRNA from 1 species
UACGUAGGGUGCAAGCGUUAAUCGGAAUUACUGGGCGUAAAGCGUGCGCAGGCGGCUUUGCAAGACAGAUGUGAAAUCCCCGGGCUUAACCUGGGAACUGCAUUUGUGACUGCAUGGCUGGAGUGCGGCAGAGGGGGAUGGAAUUCCGCGUGUAGCAGUGAAAUGCGUAGAUAUGCGGAGGAACACCGAUGGCGAAGGCAAUCCCCUGGGCCUGCACUGACGCUCAUGCACGACAGCGUGGGGAGCAAACAGG